rnacentral:lncRNA from 1 species
UCAGUGGUGAUGGCAUGUCAUUUGGUAUUAUUACACUGUCAAAGCUUAAUUUAUUGCAAUCGAUUUCCCAAUCGUUUUUCAACAGUACUUCACCAAGAAUCUCGUAAAGUCAUAACACUAGAUGGUGAGUGGUGGAGGAGGGUUUGCACAUGAAAGAGGAGGAAAAUAGCACAUAGAAAUCUGAUAUUUACUGCUGCUAUUCUUGCUUCUUUGUUGCAACCAUUGGAUUAUAGUAUUUGUUUUCAGUUUGUUCUUGUGAUUUUCAUUGGUGGGUUCUUUCAGAAUUCUUGGGAUUUUGGCUUUCUAAACUGUAAUGAUCUUAGAAGCUGGAAAAGACAAG